rnacentral:rRNA from 1 species
GAUGAACGCUGGCGGCGUGCCUAAUACAUGCAAGUCGAGCGAACAGACGAGGAGCUUGCUCCUCUGACGUUAGCGGCGGACGGGUGAGUAACACGUGGAUAACCUACCUAUAAGACUGGGAUAACUUCGGGAAACCGGAGCUAAUACCGGAUAAUAUAUUGAACCGCAUGGUUCAAUAGUGAAAGACGGUUUUGCUGUCACUUAUAGAUGGAUCCGCGCCGCAUUAGCUAGUUGGUAAGGUAACGGCUUACCAAGGCAGCGAUGCGUAGCCGACCUGAGAGGGUGAUCGGCCACACUGGAACUGAGACACGGUCCAGUCUCCUACGGGAGGCAGCAGUAGGGAAUCUUCCGCAAUGGGCGCAGGCCUGACGGAGCAACGCCGCGUGAGUGAUGAAGGUCUUCGGAUCGUAAAACUCUGUUAUUAGGGAAGAACAAAUGUGUAAGUAACUAUGCACGUCUUGACGGUACCUAAUCAGAAAGCCACGGCUAACUACGUG